rnacentral:lncRNA from 1 species
CGAGCUCUUUGUCACCUCCAUAAAAGAGAAACAUUUCCUUAGUCCUUUUCAGGUACUUUAGAAUAUUCUUGACCGCCGUCCAGUGAUCCACUCCUGGAUUACUUUGAAACCUGCCUGCCAUACUUAUGGCCAGGCUAACGUCCAGUCUAGUGCAUAGCAUUGCAUACAUGAUAGAACCUAUGGCUGAAGCAUAGUGGACGGUACUCAUCUUUUCUCUAUCUUCCGCAGUUACUGGACACUGAGUCUUACUCAAUUUUAUACCUUGUAAUACAGGCAAGAACCCCUUCUCGGACUGUUCCAUUUUGAACUUCUUCAAAAUGUUAUCAAGGUAAGUGCUUUGUGAAAAUCCUAUCAAGUGUCUCGAUCUAUCCCUAUAGUUCUUAAUGCUUAGAAUGUAAGCAGCUUCUCCUAGGUCCUUCAUAGAGAACCCUAUAUUCAAGUAAUCCUUUAUGCUCUCCAAAAACUCCACGUUCUUUCCAAUCAGCAAUAUGCCAUCCACAUAUAAUAUUAGAAACGCCACAGAGCUCCACUCACUUUCUUGUAAAUACAAGAUUCUCCAACCACUUGUAUAAACCCAAAUGCUUUGAUCACCUCAUCAAAGCGCUUAUUCGAACUCCGAGAUGCCUGCACUAGUCCAUAAAUGGAUCACUGGAGCUUGCACACUUUGUUAGCAUUCUAUGGAUCGACAAAACCUUUGGGUUGCAUCAUAUACAACUCUUCCUUAAGAAAACCAUUAAGGAACGCCGUUUUGACAUCCAUCUGCCAGAUUUCAUAAUCGAAAAAUGCAGUUAUUGCUAACAUGAUUCGUACGGACUUAAGCAUCGCUACUGGUGAGAAUGUCUCAUCGUAGUCAACUCCUUGAACUUGUGAAAAACCCUUUGCCACAAGUCGAGCUUUAUAAACGAUCACAUUACCGUCCGCGUCCGUCUUCUUUUUAAAGAUCCAUUUGUUCUGAAUAGCCUUGCGGCCUUCAGGUAAUACUUACAAAGUCCACACUUUCUUUUCAUACAAAGAUCCUAUCUCGGACUUCAUGUCCUCUAGCCAUUUGUUGGAAUCCGGGCCCGCCAUUCCUUCUUCAUAAUUCGUAGGUUCAUUUUUGUCUAACAACAUGAUUGAUAAGACAGGAUUACCAGACCACUCAGGAGCAGUGCGUGAUCUUGUCGACCUGUGAUGUUUGAUGGGAACUUGAUCCAAAGUUUCAUGAUCAUCAUCAUUAACUUCCUCCUCAACUGGCGUCGCUUCGAUAGAGGUUUUCCCCUGCCCUAUGUCACCACCUUGAGGGAUUAGAGGUUCGACAACCUCAUCAAGUUCUAUAUUCCUCCCACUCAAUUAUUUCGAGAGAAACUCCUUCUCAAGAAAAGCUCCGUUCUUAGCAACAAACACUUUGCCCUCGGAUUUGGGAUAGAAGGUGUACCCAGCUGUCUCCUUUGGGUAACCUAUGAAGACGCACUUUUCCGCUUUCGGUUCCAACUUUUCAGGCUGAAGCUUUUUGACAUAAGCAUCCCAUCCCCAAACUUUAAGAAAUGACAAUUUUGGUCUUUUGCCAUACCACAGCUCGUAUGGUGUCGUCUCAAUGGAUUUUGAUGGUGCCCUAUUCAAAGUGAAUGCAGAUGUCUCUAAUGCAUAACCCCAAAACGAUAACGGCAAAUCGGUAAGAGACAUCAUAGAUCGCACCAUUUCUAGCAAAGUACGAUUCUGACGUUCGGACACACCAUUACGCUGUGGUGUUCCAGGCGGUGUCAACUGUGAAAAAAUUCCACAUUGUCUUAAGUGAGCACAAAACUCGAAACUCAGAUACUCACCCCCACGAUCAGAAUGUAGGAACUUGAUCUUCUUGUUAUGAUGAUUUUCAACUUCACUCUGAAAUUGCUUGAACUUCUCAAACGUUUUAGACUUGUGCUUCAUCAAGUAGAAAUAUCCAUACCUACUCAAAUCGUCAGUGAAGGUGAGAAAAUAACGAUAUCCACCGCGCGCCUCCACACUCAUCGGACCGCACACAUCGGUAUGUAUGAUCUCCAACAAGUCACUUGCACGCUCCCUUGUUUCGGAGAAUGGAGUAUUAGUCAUCUUGCCCAUGAGGCAUGGUUCGCACGUGUCAAGUGAUUCAAAAUCAAGUGACUCCAAAAUCCCAUCGGAAUGGAGUUUCUUCAUGCGCUUUACACCAAUAUGACCUAAGAGGCAGUGCCACAAAACAUGGCGCUAUCAUUGUUAACUCUACAUCUUUUGGUUUCAAUGUUAUGUAUAUGUGUAUCAUCACUAUCAAGAUUCAAUAUGAACAAUCCUCUCACAUUAGGUGCAUGACCAUAAAAGAUAUUACUCAUAGAAAUAGAACAACCAUUAUUAUCUAACGUAAUCGAGUAACCGUCUCGCAAUGAACAAGAUCCAGAUAUAAUGUUCAUGCUUAACGCAGGCACUAAAUAACAAUUAUUUAAUUUCAUAACCAAUCCUGAUGGUAACUGAAGUGAGACUGUGCCGAUGGCGAUUGCAUCAACCUUGGAACCAUUUCCCACGCGCAUCGUCACUUCAUCCUUCGCCAGCCUUCGUUUAUUCCACAGUUCCUGCUUCGAGUUGCAAAUAUGAGCAACAGAACUGGUAUUAAAUACCCAGGCACUACUACGAGAGUUGGUUAAGUACACAUCAAUAACAUGUAUAUCAAAUAUACCUGAUUUUUCUUUGGCCGCCUUCUUAUCAGCCAAAUACUUGGGGCAGUUGCACUUCCACUGACCCAUUCCCUUGCAAUAAUAACACUCUGUUUCUCGCUUAGGUCCAGCCUUGGGUUUCUUCGUCGGAUUGAAAACAGGCUUGCCGCUCUUCUUGGAGUUACCCUUCUUACCUUUGUCGUUUCUCUUGAAACCAUUGGUCUUAUUGACCAUCAACACUUGAUGCCCUUUCCGGAGUUCUAACUCUGCGACUUUCAGCAUCGCGAAUAACUUGUUGGGUGACUUGUUCAUCCCUUGCAUGUUAUAGUUCAACACAAAGCUCUUAUAGCUAGCUGGCAGUGAUUGAAGAAUUCUGUCAGUGAUAGCCUCUUGCGGGAGUUCAAUCCCCAGCUCAGCUAGACAGUUUGAGUACCCAGACAUUUUGAGCACAUGUUCACUGACGAACGAAUUCUCCUCCAUCUUGCAAGCAUAGAAUUUAUUGGAGGUCUCAUAAAUCUCAAUCCGGGCAUUCUUCUGAAAGAUAAACUUCAACUCCUGUGACAUCUCAUAUGCUCCAUGAUGCUCAAAGCGACGUUGAAGUCCUGGUUCUAAGCCAUACAAGACUCCACAUUGAACUACUGAGUAGUCCUCCUUACGUGUUAACCAGGCGUUCAAAACAUCUUGGUUAGAUGUAGCAGGUGGUUCAUCUCCUAGCGCUGCAUUAAGGACAUAAUCCUUCUUCCCAGCUUGGAGGAGCAACUUUAGAUUACGAGCCCAUUCUACAAAGUUGCUUCCAUCAUCUUUCAACUUAGCUUUCUCUAGGGACGUACUGAAAUUCAGGGUUGCUACUGCGUGAGCCAUUGAGCUACAACAUAAAAUUUUGCAAAGUGGAUUUAAACUAUGUUUAAAAUAAUUAGAGUUUAACUAAUCAAAUUACUGAUAAACUUUCACUCAAAAAGUACAUCUCUCUAGUCAUUUGAGUGGUACAUGAUCCAAAUCCACUAUCUCAAGUUCGAUCAUCACGUGAGUUGAGAAUAGUUUCAGUGGCAAGCAUCUCUAUGCUAAUCAUAUCAACUAUACGAUUCAUGCUCGACCUUUCGGUCUCUUGUGUUCCAAGGCCAUGUCUGCACAUGCUAGGCUCGUCAAGUUUAACCCGAGUGUUCCGCGUGUGUCACUGUUUUGCACCCGUUGCAUGUGAACAUUGAGUCUAUCACACCCGAUCAUCACGUGGUGUCUCAAAACGAUGAACUGUCGCAAUGGUGCAGAGUCGGGGAGAACACAUUUUCAUCUUGAAAUUUCAGUGAGAGAUCACCUUAUAAUGCUACCGUCGUUCUAAGCAAAAUAAGGUGCAUAAAAGGAUUAACAUCACAUGCAAUUCAUAAGUGACAUGAUAUGGCCAUGAACUUGUGCUUCUUGAUCUCCAUCACCAAAGCACCAUCAUGUUCUUCUUGUCACCGGCGCCACACCAUGAUCUCCAUCAUCAUGUCGUCAUCGAGGUUGUCGUGCUAUCUAUGCUAUUACUACUAAAGCUACGACCUAGCAAUAUAGUAAACGCAUCUGCAAACACAAACGUUAGUUUAAAGACAACCCUAUGGCUCCUGUCGGUUGCCGUAUCAUCCACGUGCAAGUCGAUAUUAACUAUUACAACAUGAUCAUCUCAUACAUCCAAUAUAUCACAUCAUGUCUUUGGCCAUAUCACAUCACAAGCAUACCCUGUAAAAACAAGUUAGACGUCCUCUAAUUUGUUGUUGCAUGUUUUACGUGGUUGCUAUGGGUAUCUAGUAUGAUCGCAUCUUACUUACACAAAAACCACAACGGAUAUGUGCAAAUUGCUAUUUAACCUCUCUCCAAGGACCGCCUCGGUCAAAACCAAUUCAACUAAAGUUGAAGAAACAGGCACCCGCCAGUCAUCUUUAUGCAACGAGUUGCAUGUUAGUCGAUGAAACCAGUCUCUUGUAAGCGUACGAGUAAUGUCGGUCCGGGCCGCUUCAAUCCAACAAUACCGCCGAAUAGAGAAAAGAUUAAGGAGGGCAGCAAAUCAAACAUCAACGCCCACAAAACCUUUUGUGUUCUACUCGAGAUAACAUCUACGCAUGAAACUAGCUCUGAUACCACUGUUGGGGAACAUUGCAUGGGAAACAAAACUUUUCCUACGCACACGAAGACCUAUCAUGGUGAUGUCCACCUACGAGAGGAGAUUAGAUGCACAUACCCUUGUAGAUUGCUAAGCGGGAAGCAUUAAGAAACGCGGUUGAUGUAGCGGUACAGUUUCGUGAUUCAGAUCACCAUCGUCCCACGAUCCAUCCCACGACCUGUUCCGAUCUAGCGCCGUAUGGACGGAACCUCCGCGUUAAGCACACGUACAGCUCGAUGACGAUCUCGGCCUUAUUGAUCCAGCAAAAGAUACGGAGAAGUAGAUGAGUUCUCCAGCAGCGUGACGGCGCUCCGGUGGUGGUGAUGAUCUACUCGUGUAGGGUCCGCCCGAGCUCCGCAGAAAUCCAAUCUAGAGGAAAAACUACGUGGUAUAGGUUUGAGUUGCACGUGGCAAAGUUGUGUCUCAAAAAGCCCUAAACCACCAAUAUAUAUAGGAGGAGGGGAGGGGAUAGCCUUGGGGCUCAAGGGAGACCCAAGUGCGCCGGCCAAAGGCAGGAGGUGGACUCCCACCCCAAUUCGGUUUGGGGGAAGGAGUCCACUCCUUCCGACUCCUUCCUUCCCACCGNCCUUUCGGUAUUUUCCACUUAUGGCGCCAUGGCCCUAUUGGGAUGGACUCACCAGCCCCCUAAGGGCUGGCGCGCCACCCUAGGGUCACUGGGCUCACAUCGGGUGGGUGGGCCCCUCUCGGUGGAUACCAGGAACCCAUUCGUCACUCCCGGUACACUGCCGGUAAUGACCGAAACUUUACGGUGACCAAAUGAAACCAUCCUAUAUAUCAAUAUUUGUUUCCGGACCAUUCCGCAAACCCUCGUGACGUUCGUGAUCUCAUCCGGGACUCCGAACAACAUUCGGUAACCACACAUAUAACUCAACUAUACAAAAACAUCAUCGAACCUUAAGUGUGCAGACCCUGCGGGUUCGAGAACUAUGUAGACAUGACCCGAGACACUCCUCGGUCAAUAUCCAAUAGCGAGACUUGGAUGUCCAUAUUGGAUCCUACAUAUUCUACAAAGAUCUUAUCGGUUGAACCUCUGUGCCAAGGAUUCAUAUAAUCCCGUAUGUCAUUCCCUUUGUCCUUCGGUAUAUUACUUGCCCGAGAUUCGAUCGUCGGUAUGUGUAUACCAAUUUUAAUCUCGUUACCAGUAAGUCUCUUUACUCGUUCCGUAAUACGAGAUCCCGUGACUUACACUUUAGUCACAUUGCUUGCAAGUCUUGAUUGCGAUAUUGUAUUACCGAGUGGGCCCCGAGAUACCUCUCCGUCACACGGAGUGACAAAUCCCUGUCUUGAUCCAUACUAACUCAACGGACACCUUCGGAGAUACCUGUAGAGCACCUUUUUAGUCACCCAGUUACGUUGCGACAUUUGAUACAAACAAGGUAUUCCUCCGGUGUCAGGGAGUUAUAUGAUCUCAUGGUCGUAGGAAUAAAUACUUGACACGCAGAAAACAAUAGCAAUACGAUCACAUGCUACGUUCAUAGUUUGGGUCUAUUCCAUCACAUGAUUCUCCUAAUGAUGUGAUCCAGUUAACAAGUGACAACACUUGCAUACGGUCAGAAAACCUUGACCAUCCUCGAUCAAGUGGCUAGCCAACUAGAGGCUCGCUAGGGACAUUGUUUUGUCUAUGUAUCCACACAUGUAUCUAUGUUUUUAUUCAAUACAAUUAUAGCAUGGAUAAUAAACGAUUAUCUUGAAACAGGAAAUAUAAUAAUAACUAUUUUAUCAUUGCCUCUAGGGCAUAUUUCCAACAGUCUCCUGACGCUCCCAAUCUCGGAAGCGCUGCAGUGGCGGAACGAUGGAGAAAUUCUCGAUUCCAGAUAGUCUAUGAGGGUUUCCUCACGGAACACUAAAUAUAGCCAAAGGAGGGUACUCGAGGAGGGAGCACCCACCCAGGCGACCUCUUGGCGCGCCCUGGGCCUGGCCGCGCCAGCAGGACGCUUGGGAGGCCCCUGGCCCCCCUCUAGCCCUCCUUCGAUGAUCCCAAAGUUUCUGCUUCGUUGAUUUUUUUAUAUAUUUUUCUGGAUUUUUUCGGGCUUCGGAAAAUUGGGUAAAAGCCCCUGCAAAAAAGACAUCAGCAGACAGAAACUGGCACUGGGUGCAUUGAGUUAGUAGGUUAGUCCAAAUAUGUGUAAAGUGAUAUAAAAGUGUAGCAAAACAUAUAAUAAUGUCACCCAAAAUAUCGUGGAACAAGCAGAAAUUAUAGAUACGUUUAGGACGUAUCAAAAUCCCCAAGCUUAAUUUAUGCUCGUCCUCGAGUAGGUAAAUGAUAACACAAUAAUUUCUAUGGUGACAUGCUAACACACAUAUAAGAACUUCAAAGUAAAGCAAGUGAGAUAUGCAAUUCAAGUCAAGACAAUAACAAGCAAGAGUCUAUAUCUAGUAUUGAACUUAGCAAAGUAAGAACAUAAAGGUGCAAGAGCUCUCGCUGUCCGUGACUCGAAUGUCUCCAAAUGGUGUUUGCAUGCAAGAAGUGGGAGAUGGGUUCAGAGAUAAAAUAUUUUUUUAAUGGAGAACUCAAUCUACUAAACCUCACACUUAGUCUUCUUUGUAAUCUUAUUUUGACUCAUCCCUAGAACACUUGUCAGGCACAAGACAAAAUGAUCCUCUCCCUUUCGACUUUGAGCACUCAUGCAAUGGAUGAGCGUAAGCAAGAUAUGUUGGCACUUAGGAUGGCAAAUAGGAUAAUGAUGGGGAAGGAAGACAAAAAGGUGUGAAAGGCUCACAUCAAUGAGGACAACCAUAGGCGAGAGAAAGCCAAAUGAUAGAUAUGAUGUGAGGAGUAGGGAUUGCCAUGUAACACAUGCACAUAUGAGCUAAUGUAAGCUCUCCAAUGCAACUAGUGGGGGUGCAUCUAACUUGUUUGCUCAUGAAGACCUAGAUCUCAUUUGAGGAGGCUCAUCAUUGGAAUAUGCAAAGCAAGUUCUAUAGUGUAAGGAUCCCCCACAUAGUUAUGCAUGAAUUAUAAUCUAUAUGUACUACCAAUAUAGUAAUGGAGUACGAGUGUGGGUCUUUCAAAAGGAAUAGUAGUGUUGCCCCCUUCUCUCUUUUUAUUUCUUUUUUUAUUUUGUGCCCUCUUUGGCUCUUUCUUUUUAUCUCUCAUUUGUCCUGUUUGGGAUAUUUUGUUUGUCCUCUUUGGGAUCUUUUCCUCACUUAAGGGCAAUACUCUAUAUUUUAUAUGAACAGAAAGAAAAAUCAUCACACUUUAUAAGAAGUACUCAACAUAAAGACAAGUGAAAACUAUCAUGAUGUAUGCAAAUGUAUGAUUGUGCGAGUGUAGCAGGAUAAGCAAUGAUACUAGCGCGUCAUGUAGCAGUAAUGAGGGCAAGGCCCAACUAGCAUGCGGCUCUAUGAUCAAGCAAAAGCAUGUAUGACAUGAAGAUCAAGUCAUGAGAUGAUGGAUGUUACAUGGCAAUGUAUCUCGAAAAGGCUAUGGAAAUGCCUUAAUAGGUAGGUAUGGUGGCUGUUUUGAGGAAAGAUAUAAUGAGGCUUAUGUAUGACAGAGCGUAUCAUGUCAUGGGUUUGGAUGCACCGGCGGAGUUUGCGCCAACUCUCAAUGUGAGAAAGGACAAUGCACGGUACCGAAGAGGCUAGAAAAAUAUGGAUGGUGGAAGUGCCAACAAUCAAAUACUCACAUUAGUCCGAAGAACUCAUACACUUAUUAUCGUAACUCUCUAUCUAGUUAGGAAAUUCACAAAAAGACAAGUACCCCGAGGAGGAAUGUUUGGCGGUUUGGUUAUCCUUGCGCAUCCUCGACUCAUGGUAAUGUGAGGGUACUCUAUAUAUUACAACCCCUCCAUAGGUUAGCGAUCAAUUUAGUAGCUAGAGUUCUCAACUAAUUUUUAGUUUUUGAAAAACACACGGAUUUCCCAAAAUACGACACCUAUCACUAAUAGGCUCAAGCUCUUGGCACCAAUAGUCCAAACAUUACUCAAAUCAAUAACUCAAUACUAUUGCAAGUUACUACUAUACUUAAAUAGCAACCUCAGUUACCUACUUAUGCAAGACACACAACUCAGUGCAACAAGCAAACUCUCUAAACAAGAUAAGCAUGAUAACUCGAGAGAGUUCCAAAUUCAACCUAAGUAAAAGCUCUUAAAAAGAUAAGCGUGAAAGCUAAGAGCUAAGCAUGACAAUAGCUAUGAAAAGAUGAAGAACACACAAAAAGAAUAAGCAUGAAAACCUAUGUUGUGUUCUAGAGUGGAAUGGAGCGUGUGUCUCUCCCAAACACGGUAGGAUAGGUUCAGACUUGUUAUGAACAGAAAGCAAAAUUAAAACAAAGUAAAAAAGUAAAUAGCGGGACGCUCCAAGCAUAGCACAUAUCAUAUGAAGUGAUAAAAAUAUAGUAUGGGGAUGGACGACCUGAUGAUUGUUGAUAGAGAAGGGGAUGCACGGGGGCAUCCCCAAGCUUAGACGGUUGAGUCUCCUUUGAAUAUUUCUUGGGGUGCAUGGGGGCAUCCCCAAGCUUGAGUGUUUGACACUCCUUUAUCUUCUUUCAUCAUCUCUCCCAUCGCAAUACUUGAAAACCCCCUUUAUACAAAACUCAUCAUAAGCUGAUUAGAGUAGUUAGUUCCCUUAAUAAAAUAAUUCAAUACCUACUGAAAAUAAGGAUUUUCAUGAAAAGAUACUGCUUCUCAUGUGCCAAAAUAUUUUUGCAAAUAAAAAGAAAGCUUAGGAUUCGCAAAACAAUGGAAACACAAAACAUGGCAGAAUUUGUGAAAAACAGACAGCAGGUAGUAAAUAAUUUAUUCGGCGUACUUCUGCAACUCAAAUCAAUAAACUUAUAACAGAUGCCAGAAAGACAAUUAUAUAGAUCAUGCUGUCAAAAACUUCAGAUCAAAAAGAUGAUGUGGUGAUUUUUUGGUGAUUUUUUUCGUCAAGCAGACAUAAUCUGUUUCUCGACGGCAUGUCACAAUUUUUGAACUUUCUUGCAAUCGAAAGCUAUAACUUGGCACAAAGCUUAAAAAUAAAGAUACAAUGAUGUUGCUACAGUAGUAACACACAUCAAGACCACUAAAACAUAAAGUAAAAAACAUAUUGGGUUGCCUCCCAACAAGCACUUUCUUUUAUGCCUUUGAGCUAGGCAUAAUGCAAGAAGAUCAAGUUGUAUCAAUUGAACCAUCAUCAAGAUCAUCAAAGAGCUCUUCAAUAAUACAACUCCUCUUCAGAGGACUCUCAAAGAGAGACUUAGUGGCGACACUUCUAGGAACAAAAGCAAAGGUAGUAAUACCAAUUGGAAUUUCAUUUCUAAUUCUAUUUAAGAGAGGUAUCUCUUCCAAGGUCUUCACAGUUUCAGCACCCUUAGCAAUAGGUAUACUUGUUUUGGGUUGAGGAACCUUGGGUAUGUUAACGAACCUAGGUCCCUUCCUUGCAGGGGUUUCUACCUUUUUAGUCUUGAUGGAGGAUAGAGUAGUUCCUAAAGUUUCAAAAAUAUCCUCGAUCUUAUCAAUCCUAGAAGGAUCCACAUCAUGGGAUUUAAGGGUCUCCAAAAUUUUGUAAAUUUUGUUCAUGGAGCUGUCAAGCCUAUUUAAGUUCCCUUGAAUCCUACUAUCUACUUCAUUAAUCUUACUCAUGCUUGGCAUCUCUAGCUCUAUUUUCUCAAGUUUACUCAUAACAUGAGAUAAAGUGAUAUCAUCCUUUAUGUCAAUAAUAGGUCGGAUUCCGACAAGAUUUUCCAUAACGUUAAGAGCCUCCCAAACGGGAGCUUCCAAGAAAUUCCCUCCGAUUGUUGUGUCUAGAACAAACCUAUGCCAACAAGUAAUACCAACAUAAAAAUUUCUAAGAAAAAUAGUGGUGGAUUGCUUCUUGGUGGCUCUAUCUUGAGAAUUCUUAAUUCUAUACCAAGCAUCUUUCAAACUUUAUCCAACCCUUUGUUUGAAGGUGAGAAUCUCUCCUUCGGGUGCAACACUAGAGGCAAAGGAUUUAGGCAUACUAACAAAGCAAAGUAACUAAUUUUUCUGUGGUUUUUGGGUAUAGGACCGUAAAGAAAAAACUAGAAAGCAAACUAACAAGACUAAAAAGCAAAGGUAAAAUAUAGUGUGCAACUCCCCUAUCUUGAAGAGUGGAGUCCCUAGCAAUGGCGCCAGAAAUUCGCUUGAUGACGAGGUGUUGUAUAUGCUUCUCGCCCCUCGUUGGACCCCAAGUGGAAGGUGGAGAUGUAGUCAACAACAAAUUUCCCUUACACGGAGACUGUAAGGUUUAUCGAACCAGGAGGACUCCUAGGCUCAACAAGUAGGUGUCUUCCACCCUGGCGCUAGCAAAAGACGUGGACCUGCACACACAACAAAUAACUUUGAUCCCAACGAGUACAGAGAGGUUGUCAAUCUCUCCGACCUUGUAGUUUGCAAAGGAUCAAAACACAAGCGAGAAGGUAAUAGUGAUUACAACGGAAAAGUAAAUAAAGUGGUAAAUAGUGGAGGUGUAAGCAAUGAUGGUGAUCUGGACCGGAGUCACAUGACGUUCACUAGUGAUGUCUCUCUCCCAAAAGACGAUAAACAACUAUGCUAGGGUGAACAAAUAACAGUUGGGCAAUUGACUGAAUUAUGAUCGCAUCGCAAUGCUAAUUAUGCUCCUUGAUAGUUAGAGGUUCAAUAGUAAUGGGCAAUACGCCGAGACAAGUAGACCGUUUAUUCAUCAGCAUCUACUUAGUAAUCAUCCACCUUGAGAUAUAUAUCGAGAACAUCUCUCUGGUAUUAAGUUGCGAGCCCCACCCAAAGUGUAAACUCAAAGCAACGGACAACUGCAUUAAUGAACUAUGCAUAAGGUAAACAAUCCUUGCAACCUUGGUCACAAGCACCGUUGUUUUCUCCCUGGUGGCAACAAGCACAUCCCCCUACUCUCAUGUUUCGGUCAGUCAAGCUAGACAUUGAGGGGCCCGAACCCACAAUCAUGCAUAAUGCUCCCGCUUGGAGUUACGAUCUACUACUUGGCCAAAGCAAUAAAAAGCAACGGAGAACAUUCAAGAAUCACUAAGGAACAUAAUAUAAAAGGAUAAUCAAAUAUAUAACUCAUAAAAAUCUGAACAUAAUCUCAUAAUCCAUCGGAUCCCAACAAACAGAGCAUAGCAAUAGCAAGAGAAUUACAUAGAGGCCUUGAUCAUGUAGGGCAGCUCACAAGGACUAACCAUUGAAGCACAAGAUUGGAGAGAAUACAUCACAUAGCUACUGGCCAUGGACCCAUGGUCCAAGGGAAACUACUCACGGCAGAUCCGGGAGGCGUCCAUGGUGGUGGAGAAGCUCCCGGAGGUCAAUCCUCCCUCCGGCAGGGUGCCGGGAACAGGUCUCCUGACGCUCCCGAUCUCGAAAGCGCUGCGGCACCGGAACGAUGGAGAAAUUUGCGAUUCCAGAUAGUCUGCGAGGGUUUCCUCAUAGAACACUAAAUAUAGGCCAAAGAAGGGCACCGGAGGAGGUGGGGCCCACCCAGGCGACCUCCUGGCGUGGCCUGGGGCCUGGCCGCACCAGCAGGCCGCCUGGUAGGCCCGUGGCCCCCCUAUGGACCUCCCUCAGUGACCCCGAAUCUUCUGCUUCGCUGAUUUUUUAUAUGUUUUUCUGGAUUUUUUUUGGGCUUCGGAAAAUCGGGUAAAAGCCCUUGCAAAAAAGACAUUAGCAGACAGAAACUGGCACUGGGUGCACUCAGUUAGUAGGUUAGUCCAAAUAUGUGUAAAAUGAUAUAAAAGUNUACUCCACAAUGCCCUUGUCUAUGUGUGAAUUUGGCAUAUCUGUUCUACUUUGUGUCAUUAUGUCAACACAAUAUAAUCUCUUAUAUUGUGUGUCCUGUUAUGGUCAAUUGCGUGAACUGAUGACAUGGCCAUUUGUUCAUCUAGUUAUCCCUUUAUUUAUAACUUACUCUAUUUUUUAAAGCAUAUUAUGCGUUCAGAUAUGAAGUCCGCCUCUCGUGUUUUGGUCACACUCCGCCACUGGUCAAGAUUGUUAUGAUAAUCAUGUGGUCUAUAAUAUUCUUCAUGCGCCAUCGCGUCCUGUGGCCGCAACACUCCUCUAAAGAUAAAGGCCUUCGAUAAGGCCAGACAAUAUAUUUUUUGGAUCUGCUAAGUUAGAAUGAACGAUUAUGAUAUUUUCAUGUUAAAUAUGUUUACUUCGUGAUGUAUGUUUUGUCACUUGUCACUAUAUACAUUGUUUUCCAUUCCUUAAUUGUUAUGCAAUAUUAAAUACUAUACUUUAAAAAUAAUUAGCAUAGUUAAGAAUGUCAUAACCCGUCUUGUAAUACAUAACUUUUGAUGGAUUGUCAUAUUUAUCAUUGCCAUAUUCUUUUCAUGUUGAAAAUAUAACUCUAUUUUGUCCCAAAUGUGUUUCACUUUUAGCUUUGGUUUGGGACAUUCAAUAAAAUGUCUUGUUCAAGAUGGAUUUCACCCCAAAAAUUUGAUUUAUGUUUUUAAUCCAAUCAAAGAGAAAGUAUUGUCCUUUUCUAUGUUGUGCAUGUUUAAAACAUAGAAGUUUGUGUAAUUUGAUAAUUCAUACAAGGAGCUGAAAUAUUUGCAGAAACUAUGGAUCAAAGAGACUUGGAAAAAGAAUAGUUGUUGGGUGAGAUAAUCUUCACCGGAGGUGAUGUCUUGUCGUAUCUCAACGACACCGAUGGUCUGGAAGGAGAGGAUGACGGCUCGGGUGAACGAACAAUGAAGGAGGAAGGACAUGAUCAUGAUGGCUCCGGUGACCGAAUGUCGGCGGAAGAAGAUGACCAUAAUGACGCCUCCGGUGACCGAACGGAGGAGGAUGCUGUUGCAAAGUCCGGUGAGGUAUAUAUAUUACAUAAGCCUGUGCUGACUAGCUAAUUGACGCAUUAAUUAUUUUGGUAUGUACAUAUAUUAACUCUUCUUUCUUUCUUUAUAGGCCUCCGGAUUGAGCGAACCUUCGGUAACGAGACGAGGCUCGAAGAGAAGGUUGCGCAAGGAUGAAAGGCUCACAAUCACAUCACUCGCAAACGAUGGCCUACCGAUUCUACCCAAACGGACCAAGGACGCAUUUUCUGCUCAGUGCGGAGCUAUUGUUAGGGACAACAUCCCGAUCAGCAUCAAGUAAUAGAAUAAGCCUAAGGGCGACGACGUCCCUGAAGGUGAUUAUGUCACCGAUAGACAGAAAGAUGAUCUUUGGACCGCGCUGAAGGCAAAUUUCACCCUACCACCCGAGGAGGAUCCGAAUAAGCCAGUUAUAAAGCCACUCGUCAAGGCAUGUGGUCUUAAGAAGAUGGCAGAUCUAUUCAAGAGGUGAAAAAUUCAUAUGCAGCAGCGCGGCUGUCGGGAAGUACUUCCACUCAUGCAAGGUUAGCAGAACGAAGAAGUGGAAAACAAUUCCCCAGCUCGGCGAACAGGAGAAGCAAUCGUGCCCCCUGCUCAAGGUGUCUAGCGAAUCGUCGCUAAUCCUCCGGGGAUGGUGCCGGGUACCAAUCCUAGUGAUUACUUGGGGGAUGAUGUAAUUUUUCAAAAGGUUGAGGUAACAAAAUAACAACACAAAUACGUGCACGGGAAGCCUCUCAUCAAACCUGAUCAUCCUCCUCUAAUAACGAUGAUGCACAAAUUGCAUGAGUGGUACAUGAAAACCUGCAGCGAGUCUGGGAGAGACACUAUGUAUGUGGCAGUGAAACUAGAGCACGAAUUCAUUGGAUCUCUCGUGAUGCCUAUUGAAUUUGUGGAGUUAUUUCAGUUAUACAAUCAAAUGGGCCUCGACAAAUGACUCAUGACUUCCUACUGUUUGUAAGUAUUACUUCUAUAGUUAAUUCUCUAGCUCAGCUCGUUCAUUGCAUGUAUAUAUAAUUAUCCUUACUAUAUUAUGCAGAUUAAAGAUCGUUGAAUUCAAAAAAGUAGGAAUCUUCGACGUUGGGUUCAUUAGCCCAGAUGUCGUAAAUGAAUGGAUGGUACGACACUCAACCAAAGAGACCGAGGAGAACUUCCUAAAGUCGUUACUUGUACAUCAAAACAAAAAGGAAAUACUCCUUCCUUACAACUUCAAGUGAGUGUUGAUGUGUUCUCUGUAUACUCGGUUUCGCUUACUCGAGGUUAAUUAAUGUAAUUGAUGAGUUAUAUAUGCGUGCGCAGUUACCACUUUAUUCUGCUGUCCAUUAAGCUUGACGCGGCAUUACUAACUGUCUUAGACUCGAGACGUAAAAAUCCUAAGAUGUAUGCGGACAUGACUGCAAUGCUCAAGAAGUAAGUUUAGUCAAUACUGGGACCAUAUCGGCAUGCAAAUUUCGUUAAUUUCCUGAUAUCAAGUAAUAAUAUUUUUUUUGCCUGGCAAGGUUUGUAAGAAGUUUACCAAAAAGGCUCCUGGUCUAAACAAAGAGUUGUGAGUUACGCAUCCCAACGUAAGUAGUACUCCCUCCGUCCUAAAAUAAGUGUCUUAAGCUUAGUACAAAUUUAUACUAGAGCUAGUAUAAAGUUAAGACGGUUAUUUUGGGACAGAGGGAGUACUAGCUAGUUCCGCGCAUCUCUAAUUGAUUCAAAUUUUCAUCAAUAUAUCAUUACCAUGCUUGCUUAUCAAUUUUAUUGAAUUCUAUUCUCGUAAAGUGCAUGUAGCAAAAAGAAGGGACUGUUUUAUGUGCAUACUACGUAUGCGAGUUCAUUCGCCUCUCGAUCUGUGAGCGGGGCUUCUCCGAGAAACAAUUUAAAUUAUGUAAAUAAUAUUCACAAUUUUAUUUUAUAUAUUAGCAUAAAUUGUGUUGUUUUAUUCAUAUAUAUGCAUGUAUUAACCCCCUUCUUUAAAUUAGAUCUGACAGAUGUGGGAUGAACUCCUAUCACAUGAUCGCAUACGACCAAUUCAAGAGGAAUUGGCGAGAUUCUUUCUUGACCACGUCAUACCUAAAGACGGAGAAUACCAUGCGAAUUUGUGAUUGGAUCUUAGGUAGAUGAUGUUAGGGAUUGUAAAAGAUGUUAUAUUGUAUAUAUGUAGUAGCGUCGGAUAGAUAUACGAAAACUUGUUGUUCGACCAAACACGGAGAAAGAUGUCACUUCUCUCUAUAUGUAUAGUAGCUAGCGUCGACCAAGCAUGGAGAAAGAGAGGACACUUCUCUCUAUUAGCUAGCUAACACAAUACGAAACCCCUAAAUUAACCCUCCAACCCCACCCCCCCCCCAACCUCCCUUAAAAAAAACUCACCUCCUGCCAGAUGCUGACGCGUGGAUGCCUUUUGGUCCCGGUUGAUGUUAUCAACCGGGACUACAGGCCCUCCUGCCAGGGCUCCCCGCAGAGGCCACAUGAAGGCACAUCUGUCCCGGUUGGUAAGUGAACCGGGACUAAAGGUUUUGGGCUUUAGUCCCGACCCUUUAGUCCCGGUUCCAGAACCGGUGCUAAUGGGCCUCUGAAACCAGAAUAAAUGGGCAAAGUGUAAAUAAGAUGGGAAACUUGUAAGACAAGAUUGAACAAGCACUAGCUUGCUGUCAUAUCCCAAAAAUCUCCCUCUUCACGCAACAACUAUUUUGAGGAUUUUACCAACCACAGGCUGCAUGUCCUCUUUUCUAAGCUUGGAAUGAUGAAGAUGGAAGCCCAAAUAUUUAAUAGAAAAAUAAUCUUUUUUUCUAGAAUAUGCACGAAUAUGCAUAUCAUAUAUCUAUAGAAGAAAGGUGAAGAACAUCUCCAUCAGUUAUUUACAUCACAUCGUGAUACACCUCACGAAAACACAAACAACUCCACUUUAUCCUAACAUAGUCUACUCCUCCCCAAUGCUCCACCGUAUUAGACCUGCAAACACAUAAUCAACAUUUUCUUUAAUGAGCACGGCCAACGACCACGUUCUACCUCAGUCAAUUAGUCCCCGGAACGCCAAUUUUCGCUGGUUGGGCCCAUUUUUAAGUCUGACGAUCCCAUGACGAACCCAGCAAACUGGGGGCGCUUUGGGUCUCCGGCAGAAGAAAAAACGACGCGUGGGUUGUCCCUAUCAGGCGCAAAAGCCGUUUUCCUCCUUCAGAUCCCGGCGCCGUUCACCUCCCUACCGCCGCUACAAAGGCCAUCUCCCUUGCGACCAAGGGUGGGUUUGCCCCGGAUUCGCUCUAGCCCACAAGUUUGUUUGACCACUCCAAAAGUUAAGCACCCGAAAUAUGUGCUAGUUCGCUCAUGUAUCCCAGAAUUUUUUUGGCACCAACAUGGUUAUUCUCUACUUAAUACUUGACUGAAAUGACCCUUAACCAAAGCAACUAUGUUGUUAUAUGAAACGGAAACACAACUAGAAGAUGAUGAUCAACGAUGAUAGUAAUAUUCUAGCCACAGAUCAGCGAGAGAUACCAUCCUUCAUGAUUUUUUUAACAGGCAUUCGGCAAAUCGACAUAACAACACCCAACAAUACUCUUCAAAUUGAUACAAAAGCUGAAAAUUUCACGGUACCUAAUGUUACUCAAAACAUAAUUAAUGGUUUCAGCCUGUCUUGUAGAUUGUGGAGCUGUGCAUGCAAAUUUGGACGGUAGUGAUCCUCGAGGAUUUUAUGCACGGGGACUGAAGUGGAGUUGUUCGAUACGAUGAGUUUCAUAGUCAACGCGUGUAGAUACUCAGCUGUUUCAAGUUCAGCUGACAUAGUUAUUUCUUAUUUCCUGGACAGAUUUUCUGAUCAUGUGUAUGUCCAGGUCGCUGCGGCCAUGUCCAUGCUAUUUAUCUUCCAUUAUAUAUUUUUUACUAACUGACUGAGUGUUAUUUGAAUGGAAGAGAGCAUACCAUUGAAAAAUGCAGUUUUCAUUUUCUUGUACAGUGGUACUUAUAUUCAGUGGCGGAGCUAGCUAAUUGCCAAAGCCUGGGCACGCUGUAAACAAAGAUUUUUUCAUAUAUAUAUAUCAAACAUCACUAGUAUCAUAUAUUUGAAUAAACAGUAUGCGCAAUAUACGCACUAAUGUUUCAUAGAUGACAGAAGUAAAUAAAAACAAGACAUACAAUAGNNAAUAACUCGCUAAGCACUAGACACACAAUCUAACCUUUGUCUUGACGAUAAUAGUCCAAUCUUCAAUGUUCAUCGUUGUGCACACAAGAGAACCUACAAGAUACACCACAUUACCAAAUUAUAUAUUUUUCACUGAGAUUAAAUACAUUAGAUCUGCUCAACUCUGAAGUUUUAACAAACAUAACUGCAUAAUUAGAGCCGACACAAUCAAUGUUUAAAUGCACAAUUUCUUGAUAAAAUAGAGAGAUUAAUUCACCUAAUUGCCGCUUGCCGCUAGCCCUACUUGUUGGUGGUAGACUGCUAUUAGAUGCCACUUCACCAUGGCCUUGCACAGGUUGAGUGUUCGCUGGCGCUUCUCGUGCGGCCUUGCGAUCUUUCUGCCGACCUGUCCGAUGAUAAUCCGGCAGUUUGCCUCGCCGGCUCGCCGGCUAGGAGUAGCAGCGGCGCAGCAGUUCCUAGGUCACGGACUCACAGCGUCACGUCCAGGACUUCGUCUCGCCUAGGUACGCACACGAACAGGAAGCUGAUGGAUUCAGAUACUUCUAAUUCUCUCACAAUCUAACUAGGCCUUAGUGGCCCACGUAAUUCACGUACUCCCCAAGAGACAAGAGUAUAGCCCAAACUGCAUAAAAACGACAAGACAGGCCCAGUUCAAACACUGCACGUAUUCUCUAUUGUAUACCAGCAUUUUUAAGCUAUUUUUAUGUAUAUGAUGCCUAGAAAUGGUAGCUAUAGUUCAGGAAUUUGCCGCCGUCGAGCCCGGGCACGUGCCCAGGGUGCCCGGACGGUAAAUCCGCCCCUGCUUAUAUUAAUAUGAGCAACAUGUUCGUCUAAUUGCUUUAAAAUCUAUGCUAUUAAUUAAUUAGUGGAUAACUUUGUCCACAUACUUCUCUUGCCCUUAGAGCAACUCUAGCGCACCCCCAACAGGCUCCCAGGGCGUGUUUUUUAGUGCCGGCCAUGAAAAAAAUGCUAAGUUGCUUCGCAGAACAUCGAUUUUAGCUGGUUGAGCCCAUUUUUAGGUCUGACGAUCCCAGGACGAACCCAUCGCACUCGGGCGCUUUGGGUCCCCGACGGAAGGAAAAACGACGUGUGGGCUGUCCCUGUCAGGCGGAAAAGCCGUUUUCCUCCUCCAAAUCCCGACGCCUUUCGCCGCCGUGGCGAUCCCGGUGCCUUUCGCCACCGUGCCGAUCCCAGCGCCGUCCACCUCCCUACCGCCGCUAGAAAGGCCAUCUCCCUGGCGACGAAGGGUGGGUUCGCCGUGGCUUCGCUCCCUGCUUCUUGGUGAUUUUUUUUCCGGCGCUCCGGCCAUGCACGCGGCUGCGCGUCUGCCACGCCCGCUAGGUGUUCGGCGAUUUGCCUCGGCGAUGGACUCCGACGACGUGGAGGCAUUCGCAACGCUAAUGGAAGAGGAAGCCGAUGCCGACACCCAGGAUGAAGAGCACCUCAUGGUCCUCGCCGCUCUGGUGAGCCUGUUCGCGAGCAAUGCAAACCCGAGGCGAGGUGGCUCGGCGUCGGGUCGGCUGAAGGCAAAGCAGGGGCAUCGACUCGAAGGCUAUUGCUUGCUCUACACCGACUACUUCGCCGACGCUCCUCUGCACGGUGACAAACUCUUUCGGCGCCGUUAUCUUAUGAGCCGGAAGCUCUUCCUUAGGGAGUUCGAAAACUACUUCAAGUGCAAAAAGGAUUACACCGGCACACUUGGAUUCACCUCACUCCAGAACUGCACGACAACUACGAGGAUGCUUGCAUACGGAGCUCCCGGUGAUAUUCUGGAAGACUAUGGACGCAUGGCCGAGUCCACCACCGUUGAAUCUUUGUACAAAUUCUACAUGGCAGUUGUGGCAGUAUUUGGACUUCAAUACUUGCGAUCACCCAAUGUUGAAGACACUCCUCGGAUCCUAGCACCGAAUUCAGCAAGAGGAAUUCCUGAGAUGCUUGAAACUAUCGACUGCAUGCAUUGAAAAUGGAAAAAAUAUGCAUUUACUUGGCAGGGGGUGUACAAAGGCGUCAAAGAAGGUUGUAGUGUGGUACUUGAGGUAGUGGCCACACAUAACCUCUGGACUUGGCACUCCUUCUUUGGUAUACCAGGAACUCACAAUGACAUCAACAGACUGCAAUGCUCGAAUGCCUUUGCAAAGCUUGUUGAAGGUCAUGCUCCCCCGAUUAACUAUGAGGUCAAUGGGCACCACUACAACAAGGGAUGCUGCCUAGCAGAUGGCAUCUAUCCGAGAUGGUCCACAUUUGUGAAGACUAUCUCAAACCCUGCACCAGGAGGCAAGAACUUCUACUUUGCCAAGUGUCAAGAAGCUUGUAGGAAGGAUGUCGAGCGAGCAUUUGGUGUGCUCCAAUCUCGUUUUUCUAUUGUUCGAUACUCCGCUCAGACGUGGUCGAAAGAUCAAAUGUGAGAAGACAUGACUUGGUGUGUCAUCUUGCACAACAUGAACAUUGAGAGCGAGCGGGAAGAGCCCGUCUUUGACAUUGAACCAUAUUACAGGCAGGGUCCCCUUGCCCAAGUUGAUCACCAGCUACCGGCAACUUCGAGUGCCUUCAUCAACAUGUGUCAGGAGAUUCGAGACCCACAGGUGCAUCAACAACUAUAAACCGAUUUGGUGGAGUACCUAUGGAGGCUUAAGGGCAACGCCUAGCUCGAUGUGUGAUGAAUUAUGAGUUUUUAUUUGUUGAACUAUUUUGAUUUGUUAAACUAUUUUUGAUUUGUAUUGAUUUCUGUGAUGAACUAUGUGAUAGAAAAAUAAAUGAUUUGUUUAAUUUGUGUUAAAGCAUGCUGAAUAUGGAUCAAAAUUGGUCUCAUUUUGCGUCGAAAGUGAACCAAUUUGCGCUGAAAGUGGGCCAAUUAGCACCGAAAAUGUGCAGAAAUCAGCGGGUGGGGGCGACCUUGGGGGACGGCUGGGAACCCGAGCCUCCCACGUCGAUUUUUCCGCCGACGCGCCUCCAGGAGGCGCUAUUUUACGCCCCGGAAGAUCGAACGGCUGGAGAUGCUCUUAGGGAACCACAUCAUGAUGCAGCUGCUUAUUAAGGAUGUAGUUCUCCACAGCAAUCAUUUGAAACAACUGCUCCUUUCUGUUUGUCUUUCUAAGCUUAAAUGACGUUUAGUUUUGGGGAUCUAAUUUGGACGUUGGAACAUCAGGGCUAAAAUUACACGCUGUAUGUAUCGCAUGAUCGCAAUUGACUCUCAGUUUCCAUGCGUUUGUGCAAUAAUAAUUAAUAAGCUGAAGCUCAAAUUAAUACUUUCUUGUUCUGUUUGCAACAAAGCAGAAGGAGUCUCCACUGAAGGAAUGAAUACUGAGAGUGACAAAUGAUAAGUAGGUGUAUUGGUCUUUGCCAAAUGGGUAUACUCAAUAUAUUUAGAGAUAUAUUAACAAAACAUGCCCAGCAAUCGCUUGGAUGCGAUGCGGACUUAGGUAGGUAAAACAUCAGAUAUUAAAAGUGGCAUGCUUAAAAGGUGUAAAGGCAGCUGCCGUCGUCGCUCCUUGCCGUUGGGUCGUAGUUCUUGGCAUUUUGGUCGGUGCAACCUUCCGGCACGGGCAAAGUACCUUGCUGUGCUCCUUUACCUGCAAUUUAAUUGUUUUGGACGACGUGAUGAGAAGAUGAGCUUGAUAUGCCGGCGGAAGAGCAGGUAAGAAAAACAGGCCUCCACUCCCUUUUUUUUUCCGAAGUAAGAAAGUGAGAAAGAAGUAUGCAUGUAAAGUAGUUGCUGAAAGUAUAAGAAGAUUGUGCGUAGUUCACCUCCUCCUAUGCAGCAAGAGAUGGUGGGUGUGUAUGGAGAAUUUUCUAACCGUAGAAGGAACCAGUCUUCAUCGCAUCCUGGUUAGCAUCACCCAGAGCUGCCUGGCUCAUGUAGGUGUCAGCAAGCUGCACACGCUUGACAUUGUCCUGCUCCUGGACGAGCAUGUGCCCGUACUCUAGCAGCUUCUCGACUGUCAUCUUUGGCUGCUCGAAGGUCACGGGCCCGUCCCGCGAGUUCACCAGCCUCUUGCCAAUGUUCUCGAUUCCGGUAGAGCCGACCCACUUGCGCACCUCAUCGUCGUACACCCGAGCACGCAGAGCACCGAAAAAGUCUGUAUCGGAUCGAUGCAUGAUACUUUGUUAAUUACUGAUAUACAACUUGUCUGCCCUGAUGAAUAUAUAUAUAUAUAUUUGGAAACAAGAGAAAUAUACCAAUGGAUUGUCCUGGGAAGGUGUCGACGAUCUUGACGACAGACUCGUCACUGACAUUGUCGGUCUGGAAGAUACCCUUGCAGACACCGAUACGGUCGUCACGGGUGGGAGCCCAGUAGAACUUCUCCAUACGACCAUCACGGAUCAGAGGAGCGUAGAGCGUCGAGAAAUCGUUACCGGUGACGACGAUGGGCACACGGGGGUUCUCCUCCUUGUUGUACAUGCCAGGGAGCUGCACGUUGGUGGGGGCAUCGGCGAUGUUCAUCAGGGUGGCGUUCACCAUCUGGUUGUUGACGGUGUACUGCGUGGUUCCGCCCAUCCUACCCGCACCAGCGUCAAGAUCGUUGAUGAAGAGGCAGCACAUCUUACCCUUCUUGAUCAUGUCUGCAGCCUCACGGUACCGCUGCCUGAUGAGCUUGGCUGGCUCUCCAGCGUUCCCACUCUCCAGCUCUCCGGCACUCAUCAUGAUGGGGCUGUGGCAAAAAGCACAGGUCAUUAUCUAUUAUUACUAUUAUCUUAUACUCCCUCUGUUCUUAAAUAUAAGUCUUUUAAGCGAUUUCAUCAAGAAACUACAUACAAAACAAAAAGAAUGAAUCUACACUCUAAAGUAUGUCUAUAUACAUCCGUAUGUAGUCCUUUAGUGAAAUCUCUAAAAUGACUUAUAUUAUGGAACGGAGGGAGUAGUAUUUCUUUAGGGAGGAAGUAGAUGAAUGUAAAUUCUUACUUGAUGCCCAUCUUGGCGAACACAAGCUCACACUGGAAUGAUUUUCCUUGACCCUUGCCUCCCCAGAUACCCAAGAUGAGUGGGAUCUGAAUUUCGAUUCAAGGUCAGUUUCAGAAUCAGAAUGAUUCAUUUUAUUGCUGCUUCUGCUAAUAAUCAAUUAAAUUAAAUAACGAUGUCUGCAUGCAUCGAUUAAUUCAACCUCCUUUUUUCAAAAAAAGAAAAGAANNNNNNNNNNNNNNNNNNNNNNNNNNNNNNNNNNNNNNNNNNNNNNNNNNNNNNNNNNNNNNNNNNNNNNNNNNNNNNNNNNNNNNNNNNNNNNNNNNNNNNNNNNNNNNNNNNNNNNNNNNNNNNNNNNNNNNNNNNNNNNNNNNNNNNNNNNNNNNNNNNNNNNNNNNNNNNNNNNNNNNNNNNNNNNNNNNNNNNNNNNNNNNNNNNNNNNNNNNNNNNNNNNNNNNNNNNNNNNNNNNNNNNNNNNNNNNNNNNNNNNNNNNNNNNNNNNNNNNNNNNNNNNNNNNNNNNNNNNNNNNNNNNNNNNNNNNNNNNNNNNNNNNNNNNNNNNNNNNNNNNNNAGGUACCUUGAUGUUGGGCAGGGUCAUGAAGUUUUUGGAGAGAUGGACAACAAGCUUGUCCAUGAAAGCAGGAGCGAUGUAGAAGCCUCCCAUGGUGUUGUCGAAGUCGUACUUCCGCAGGCCCUGGCUGACGUACUCGUAGGAGCUGAGGACGGCCUCGUGGGUGCCGUCGCCCGUGGGCGCCUGGAAGAGCGAGUCCACGAUGCCCUUCCCUCUGGUGAUGUCCUGCUGGUCGUCGGAGAUAUCGUACGCAAGACCCUUCCACUUGUCGGUGUUCCUCUUCUCGUCGAUGUUCUCCGCUGCCAUGACUGUGAACCUGUUGGCCUUGGAGCUCUUGCCAUGGUAGUUCACGGCCGAGGUCACCUGCUUCUUGAGCUUCUUCCCGAGGAAGUUGGUCGGCGUAGAAGCCUGUAUACAUUACAUUACAUUACAUAUACACACAUGAGAUGCCGCUGAAGACACUGAUAGGAUAUCAUCACUAAGCAAGAGAUGCAAUCAAUCAAUCGAUCGAUCAGUGUGUGGUACGCACCGGAGCCCCGACGGUGGAGGAGAAGGCAGCAGCCAUCUCUGUGCUGCUUGGUCGACCUUGCUAGCAACGGUGGAUGCGCGCGGCUGUGCUGGUGAUCAGUGAUGAAUGACUGCUGCUGCUCAAAGUAUAGAGGCCGAGCUAUGUGACGCCUUAAAUACACGUGGAUUGGCAUAUUGCUGCUCUGCUGUGGGGAGCUUGGAGGAGGAGGCGGCAUACACACACCCCUGCUUGUGGAUCAGCCUCCCGAUCCCCCAGAGGCCACACGCUGGAGAUUGGGUUCUGAGCGUCUUGGCCGGCCGGUUGGAUGACUUGGACCGUCAAGACCAAACGCUGCAGCUGCAGCUGCAGAUACGUCUGCUGGCCAUCAAUUCCAUGGCCUUCCACGGCCACAGAAUCUAACCAUUCAUGCUCAAAUCAUCUCCCAUUUCUUCCGUGCCUUUCAUUUUUUCCUUUCACUCGGUCGCCCGUAUAUACUAUCUUGUUUAUUAGCCAAGCCAUGUCAUUGCAUAACCACAAAAAAAGGGUCUCUCGUUGCUUGUUGGAUGAGGCACCCAAGAUUGUAUUCUAGUUCCAAGUACCACAAAUUUGUUGCUGCCAUACAUAUACUGGUUUGUUGAUAACCAUCAAGCUAGGGAUGUCAUUUGGCACCACACAAAUCAAGUCCUGGUUGACAUCAAGCACAUGGGUUUGUACUUUUGUCUACUCCAAUAAAUAUUGCCACUUCGGUAAAAAAAAAUGAAGCGUAUUAAGAGAAAAGGUAGCCAUGCAGUUUUGCUUUGAUGAAAAGAUUAUAGAACGUGUCUAAUGUUUUCAUGUAAAUGUAAUUCGUGUUGCCUAGCUCAAGUUCCCUGCUGGUAUUCUCAUUGUUUGGGUCUAGUACAGACCAUUAAUUGAUCAUUACGAUGAAUGCGAGCCGUUUGGCUCGCACAAUCUUUGUCCAAUACACCUUCUAGUGAUGUUGUCCUUGUUAAUCAACUUUGUGGUGCAAAUUGGGGUUUCCGUAAUCCGUCAAAGGGAAAAUAUGUAUGUAUGUGAUGAGUCAUGACCCCCCACAUCCACAGUACUCGUACCUAAUCAACAAGCUUCAGAUGAUUUCCACAUAUGUGCUAAUCUUCCGACAAGUGCUAAUAUCAAGAGAUAUAUAGGUUGUUGGGACUUGGGACCCUAGCUUGCAUCCAUUGGAGAAAUGAUUAAGCGGAAAAUGACGAUUUAAGAACAUAUACAAUUCCUUUCUCUUUCAAGAAGAGACUUACAAUUGGGUUACCUGUGCGGCGAUGAAUCAAAAAGUUUGAGUGGAUUUCGGGUCCAAAAUAGUCCAACAUAUAUAUAGUGCAUGCAUGCAUCUUAAGUAGAGUAGGACCUUCUACUUGCCGUAGAAGGCACCGGUCUUCAUGGCGUCGUCGUUGGCUUGGCCGAGCGCCGCCUCGCUGAGGUACUUGUCGGCGAGCUGCACACGCUUGAC